AUUGAACGCUGGCGGCAGGCUUAACACAUGCAAGUCGAGCGGAGAGAGGUAGCUUGCUACUGAUCUUAGCGGCGGACGGGUGAGUAAUGCUUAGGAAUCUGCCUAUUAGUGGGGGACAACAUUUCGAAAGGAAUGCUAAUACCGCAUACGUCCUACGGGAGAAAGCAGGGGAUCUUCGGACCUUGCGCUAAUAGAUGAGCUUAAGUCGGAUUAGCUAGUUGGUGGGGUAAAGGCCUACCAAGGCGACGAUCUGUAGCGGGUCUGAGAGGAUGAUCCGCCACACUGGGACUGAGACACGGCCCAGACUCCUACGGGAGGCAGCAGUGGGGAAUAUUGGACAAUGGGCGGAAGCCUGAUCCAGCCAUGCCGCGUGUGUGAAGAAGGCCUUAUGGUUGUAAAGCACUUUAAGCGAGGAGGAGGCUACUUUAGUUAAUACCUAGAGAUAGUGGACGCUACUCGCAGAAUAAGCACCGGCUAACUCUGUGCCAGCCGCCGCGGUAAGAC
rnacentral:rRNA from 1 species